GACGUUUUUCUGCCGAGUUCAACGAGUCCCGCAUCGCGGAGCGACAGACGCGCCUACGCGCUGAGGGCUCUUCACAAGGCGCACACGCUGGCAAGGCACGACAACGGCGUACCGUACCUUUGUAGCGAGCAUGGCCCCCAUGCGUCAUGGCGCUGCGGAUGCCGCGCCGAUGUGCCUCGCUGACCGCAUGAAGCAACGGUAUAGGUGUCCGCUGUCGGCUCUACUCAUGUGCACGGUACUCUUCGCGCAGCUUCUGCUCUGUAGCACCUCCCUGCCCGUCGCGGCCGACACGACCAUCACGCCCCUCCUCAACAUCACCUCCACCGACAAGGCGGACCCCGAUGAGUACUACAAGAUAUUGCUCUCCCAGGACGCCACCAUCCUUGCGGGCAGCACCACCGUCCUCAGCAGCGACGGAGUCGCCUACCCGAACCUCAACAUGGUGAAAGGACUGCGGUCCGUCCCCCAGGUUCCUGGGGCGCCAAUGGCGCAGAGCGCUCCUAAGCGGACCAACACGGCCUUGAAGGCCUUCCGCGCCGACGUCCUAUCGGAGUUCCUCGUAGCGAUGGCACUCCUCUACCUCGACUCCACCGACGCGCUGCCCUUCGCACGCACGGCGCCGAUCCCGUCCACGUACCUGCCAGCCUCCUACACAGGCGGCGCCAGCUUCGUCAACCCGUCGUUUCCCACCGUGCCCAUCACCCUCAACAUGCUGCUGCAGCACGUUUCUUCGCUCACCGAGACGGGCCUCGACCUUCGCGCCGAAACUGCGCCGUCCGGCGCUGUGUCGACCCUCUCGGCCUUUGUCAGCUCCCUCUUUUCCACCACGACCACAACAGUGUUCAGCGCUAGCCAGCCGGGGUUGUCUACCAGCUACACCUACUCGCAUGCCAACGUGGCGAUCGUCGCCUACGUGGUGGAGCAGGUCUUGGCUACGUCGACGAACUACUCGGCGCUCUCCGGCAUCGGCGAGUUCGUCUUCACCGUCGUGAUGCCACCACUGCAGCUGUCGAACACGUUUUUGCUGAACCGCAACGGUCACGUCAUUGAGGCAGCCUACCCCUUGAGGAGCGGCAGCAGCCAUGACACGGUGAAUCACGUCGCCCGCCAAGUCCUUGACAGCCGCAACACCGGCAUCCUGGACAGCGCUCCGAGGGAAGCCUCGUACUUCUCCGACUACAUGCUCUUUACGACCAGCGCAGACGUGGCGAAGUUGGCGGCAGAGGUGCUCGUGCCGGGCGGCUUUUACCACAUGCGACUUGGCGCCUCGAUGCUCCAGAACACGGUCCCCAUUGCCGUGCCUACGAUGCGCUACACGGAGGCACGCACAACCGGCCUCUUCCUGUUCAGCGCGAACAAGCUGUGCUCUACAAUGUACGCCGCCAUCUCCUACAGCGGCCAAGCGCCGUACUGCCGCUACAACUCCGCGACCGUGUCCGAGUCAGCGCCGCCCUUCGGGCUGGUCGCCACAGGUGGCACGGAUGAGCUCGCCAUCGUGUGCGUCCCCGUCGUGAGCAACACGAAGACGUUCUGCUCGAUCGCGGAGCUUUCCUUCUCAGGCACAGGCUGCAGCAGGUGCAGCCCCGCAGCGGCGGGGGACCGUGCUGUCGGCCUUGCCAUGGUGAGCCUGGCGCACUUGACGAGUGAACCGAUGCCAGUGGCGCCAGCCCCGACGCCGCAGUCGAAAGCUCGCACGUUUAACGGGUGGUUCGUGUUCCUGGGGGUGGCCGUCACACUGGUGGUUGUGGUCGUCGCCUCCUACAUCACCGACUACCUCAUCCAGCCGCCGCCGCCAGCGAAGAUUAUAGCACCCGUCGUGGCGGGUCAGAUCGGCCUGCGGAGCGGCACCGCGCUGAAUGGCCCUGUUGGCGGCGGCGGCGCAGUCGGCAGCUCGGAAGUGCCCGUUGACGGUGAGUCCCCCGAGGCGUUCCGCGAAAACGGUAGAGACCAUGACGCUGAGGGCCUGUACAGUGGCGCCGACGACGAGGAACAGACGCCGUACCUCGCGUGCAGCGGUGACCGUGCUCGCGGCAGCUCGUCACUGCGGCGGCGUUGCCCGCGCCGGCGCCGGCGCCGUCACAACGGCGAGCCGAAUCCGGCCAGUGACGGCUCCUACUCCAGCGGCGACGACGGCUGGGGCGACGACCGGGACAGCGUCGACCGCGUCUCCACGGGGUCGCGGCGGCCGAGCCCGAAAGGCGCUCUGCGCUUUGAUGCCUACAUAUAGAGACGGUAGCUAAGAGAAGGCGGGGGGGGGGGGGGGCAGCGGGUGUGCGCCCUCCCCCCACCCCCUGCCUUGGCGGUUGGGCGGUUUAGAUGGCUCUGCCGCCUUCCUCAGGCGCGCGUCGAGUCGCUCGUGCUGAGCAGCACCGCGUCUUCGACGGGAGCGCGCCCUCUUGCUGCCCUUGCUCCUUUAGAUAUGGCGCACGCCUUUCCCUCCCUCACCACACGGCAGAAUCUCUUGCAUCCCUUUAUGGCAGAUGUGUAGACGACUUG
rnacentral:misc_RNA from 1 species